UACGUAGGUGGCAAGCGUUGUCCGGAAUUAUUGGGCGUAAAGCGCGCGCAGGUGGUUUCUUAAGUCUGAUGUGAAAGCCCACGGCUCAACCGUGGAGGGUCAUUGGAAACUGGGAGACUUGAGUGCAGAAGAGGAGAGUGGAAUUCCACGUGUAGCGGUGAAAUGCGUAGAGAUGUGGAGGAACACCAGUGGCGAAGGCGACUCUCUGGUCUGUAACUGACGCUGAGGCGCGAAAGCGUGGGGAGCAAACAGG
rnacentral:rRNA from 1 species